rnacentral:tRNA from 1 species
GUUCUAGUAGCGCAAUGGAUAGCGCCUUGGACUUCUAAUCCUAAGGUCGUGGGUUCGAAUCCCAUCUAGGAUG